rnacentral:rRNA from 1 species
AAGGCUCGUAACACCUUGAUGAUGCCUGUUGCGUGGGAAAUCUCGAACGAGCGCAAUGCUAGGAUCUUCCGAAACACCGCCGUCCCCACUACCGUCAUCAUCACCAAGAUUAAGGAUGAAGCCUCUCUUUGGGCUCGUGCGGGUGCAAAGUAUUUGAGUAAUAUAAUGCCGCGAGAGUAA